rnacentral:rRNA from 1 species
AACGAACGCUGGCGGCAUGCCUAACACAUGCAAGUCGAACGAGACCUUCGGGUCUAGUGGCGCACGGCUGCGUAACGCGUGGGAACCUGCCCUUAGGUUCGGAAUAACUCCCCGAAAGGGGUGCUAAUACCGGAUAAUGUCUUCGCACCAAAGAUUUAUCGCCUUUGGAUGGGCCCGCGUUGGAUUAGCUAGUUGGUAGGGUAAAAGCCUACCAAGGCGACGAUCCAUAGCUGGUCUGAGAGGAUGAUCAGCCACACUGGGACUGAGACACGGCCCAGACUGCUACGGGAGGCAGCAGUGGGGAAUAUUGGACGAUGGGCGAAGGCCUGAUCCAGCAAUGCCGCGUGAGUGAUGAAGGCCUUAGGGUUGUAAAGCUCUUUUACCCGGGAUGAUAAUGACAGUACCGGGAGAAUAAGCUCCGGCUAACUCCGUG